CGGUUCUAUGUCCAGAUGCGUGUUGUUUUUAUCUUUUUAUUAUCAUUGCAUAAUGCUUUUUUCCUCCCACUGUCCUGUCUCCUACCCAGGCCGCCACCACAGCCACCAAGCUUCCAGGCAAGAAAGCCAAAGCCUUCGUCUAACUAUACUCCUGUUGUAAACGCCCCCCCGAGUGAAUUUUAGAGGCUGCAACAGUCAAAUGCUGUGUUCAGGCCUCAGUUUUAGGAGAAUACAAGAUGUCUACUCUCUGCCCAGGGUGUUGUCCAGGUCGGGAAGAUGCGUCUCUAUUUCAGCAGCCUCCACCUUGCCAGCUCCCUGCGCUCUCUCGCACUUCUGCCCUGCGCUCGACCCCCGGCAGCUGGAGGCCUCACUGGUCUCACCCCCAAGUGCGAGCCAGGACUCAGCCAGUGAAUGCCCGCCCCCCCCCCCCCCAUCACUCUCUUCUCUCUACGUUCCCGCUAUUGAGAUGCCAUGAAAACUGAUGUUUACCGUCCUGGGCAGUGCGGCUGCCAGGCUCUGCACGGACACCUGCUCCCUAGGCGCCGUCCGGAAACCCUCCCAGGGGAGACCCGGGCGACUGUGGAACCUGCCUGCGGAGUCUGCUUUCUGGCAGGGAUCCUACCCUUGUGCUGCCUAUUGUUCAAAGCCUGAAACUGUCAUGUCCUGAUUGCCUCAUAGCACGGCCUAUGGGGGGAGGCUACUCUGCUCUCUCCGGAAACGGAAGUCACCCGGUAUGUUUCAAAUACUGACUUUAGAGAUUUCAUCUCGUUAAGUGUUAUUUCCCAUCAUUUGGAGUAGAUUUCAUUCUCUAUUCGUGACUCUUUGCUCUUGACAUGUCCCUCCAUGGGUAACACGGUUCAGGAAUCUGCACAUUUGAGAUAUGACAAUAGGAAAAUACAGUUGAAGAAUAAAUCAUGCGAUGUACCAGUAAAUCAGA